UUGCUUAUAUUGGCAGCAGAUUGACUAAAAUUGGAAUGAUGCAGAGAUUAACAUGGCUCUUGCACAAGGAUGAUACACAAAUUCAUUAAACAUUCCAUAUGUUU
ensembl:snRNA U6 U6 spliceosomal RNA